rnacentral:rRNA from 1 species
GCAUCAGGUCUCCAAGGUUAACAGCCUCUAGUUUCUAGAAUAAUGUAGGUAAGGGAAGUCGGCAAAACAGAUCCGUAACUUCGGGAUAAGGAUUGGCUCUGAAGGAUGGGCCGUUCGGGCUGUGGUCAGAAACGGGUGAUGCGUCUGGCUGGGACUGGUUGUGCUGGAAACGGCGCGAUUGGACCCGUGCUGACGUCUGCCCGCGGAAGGCCAUGGCUACGCCUCUGGACCCUGUGUCUGUGAGUGUCGUUUCGGGCGGCAUUAAACAUCCGACUCAGAACUGGCACGGACCCCGGGAAUCCGACUGUCUAAUUAAAAC